rnacentral:pre_miRNA from 1 species
UGUUAAAAACUUUAUUUAUUUCUAUUGAUAAAAAAUAAUUAGACAAUUAUAUGUGCCACGUACAUCUUAUUCUGAUGUAUAAGAACUAGUUUUUAGCAGUAGAAAUUGAUGAAAUUUUUAACA